UACAGGGGGGGGCAAGCGUUGUUCGGAAUUAUUGGGCGUAAAGCGCGUGUAGGCGGCUUUGCAAGUCGGGUGUGAAAGCCCUCAGCUCAACUGAGGAAGUGCGCCCCGAAACUGCAGAGCUUGAGUGCCGGAGAGGGUGGCGGAAUUCCCCCAAGUAGAGGUGAAAUUCGUAGAUAUCGAGAGGAACAUCGGUGGCGAAGGCGGCCUUCUGGACAGCGACUGACGCUGAGACGCGAAAGCGUGGGGAGCAAACAGG
rnacentral:rRNA from 1 species